rnacentral:misc_RNA from 1 species
UCCGGCUUAUCACCGGCGGUUUCUUUAGAGUGCCCAACUAAAUGAUGGCAACUAAAGACGAGGGUUGCGCUCGUUGCGGGACUUAACCCAACAUCUCACGACACGAGCUGACGACAGCCAUGCACCACCUGUGAAGGUCCGGCCGAACCGACCCCGUGUUUCCACGGGUGCGACCUACAUGUCAAGCCCAGGUAAGGUUCUUCGCGUUGCGUCGAAUUAAACCACAUGCUCCACCGCUUGUGCGGGCCCCCGUCAAUUCCUUUGAGUUUCAGCCUUGCGGCCGUACUCCCCAGGCGGGGCACUUAAUGCGUUAGCGCCGGCACGGAGCCCGUGGAAUGGACCCCACACCUAGCGCCCAACGUUUACGGCGUGGACUAC